rnacentral:rRNA from 1 species
AGUCGAACGGUAACAUUUCUAGCUUGCUAGAAGAUGACGAGUGGCGGACGGGUGAGUAAUGCUUGGGGACUUGCCUUUGCGAGGGGGAUAACAGUUGGAAACGACUGCUAAUACCGCAUAAUGUCUUCGGACCAAACGGGGCCUUUAGCUCCGGCGCAAAGAGAGGCCCAAGUGAGAUUAGCUAGUUGGUAAGGUAACGGCUUACCAAGGCGACGAUCUCUAGCUGUUCUGAGAGGAAGAUCAGCCACACUGGGACUGAGACACGGCCCAGACUCCUACGGGAGGCAGCAGUGGGGAGUAUUGCACAAUGGGGGAAACCCUGAUGCAGCCAUGCCGCGUGUGUGAAGAAGGCCUUCGGGUUGUAAAGCACUUUCAGUUGUGAGGAAAAGUUAGUAGUUAAUACCUGCUAGCCGUGACGUUAACAACAGAAGAAGCACCGGCUAACUCCGUGCCAGCAGCCGCGGUAAUACGGAGGGUGCGAGCGUUAAUCGGAAUUACUGGGCGUAAAGCGCACGCAGGCGGUUUGUUAAGCUAGAUGUGAAAGCCCCGGGCUCAACCUGGGAUGGUCAUUUAGAACUGGCAGACUAGAGUCUUGGAGAGGGGAGUGGAAUUCCAGGUGUAGCGGUGAAAUGCGUAGAUAUCUGGAGGAACAUCAGUGGCGAAGGCGACUCCCUG